rnacentral:rRNA from 1 species
UACGAAGGGGCUAGCGUUGCUCGGAAUUACUGGGCGUAAAGCGCACGUAGGCGGCUUUCUAAGUCGGGGUGAAAUCCUGGAGCCCAACUCCAGAACUGCCUUCGAUACUGGAGAGCUUGAGUCCGGGAGAGGUGAGUGGAACUGCGAGUGUAGAGGUGAAAUUCGUAGAUAUUCGCAAGAACACCAGUGGCGAAGGCGGCUCACUGGCCCGGUACUGACGCUGAGGUGCGAAAGCGUGGGAGCAACAGG